GGGGGCUGCUCUGUGUAUUAUAGGAUGUUUAGCAGCAUCCCUGGCCUCUACCAACAGGUGUCAGUAGCAACCACCCUAUUGUGACAUGUUUCCAGACAAGGCCAAACAAAUGGUUCUGAACUGCGAAAUUGCUCCCAGUUAAGAACACUGCUAUUUAUUGAGCACCCUUAUCUAGCAAUCCUAAGAAACUUCAUAUACCAAAUCCCAGACCACUACACCCAAACCGUUGCAAAAGGCCCAGGAUCUCUCACUUGCUACCAGCAAGAGCCAAGAAUGAGAAGUUUUGCAAUCUUUUCCAACGUUGGUGUCCUUCUUUGCCAGGACAAGAAUGCGUCACAGAGAAACAGCCCUAUCUCCUUCCCCCAAGAUGCUUUUCUGGAGGUGAUUUUGCUGAUGAUGCAAGAAAAGGAUGGAACUGGGUAGUGUUUAUUUUGACCAAACACACUACCUGUAACCUAAGACCUUCUCUGAGCCCGGAAUCCAAUACCUGUAUUCCCACAUCUGUGUCUCCCAGCCUUUGUUUCAUUACAGCCUUCCUUAGGAGCCUUUAUGGACAUUUUUUCCUAAUUUCCCCCCCUGAUGUUUUACUACCAUAGAUGGAUUAUGUAUCUAUUGAUGUCACGUGUGUCUAUCUGAGCUGUACACAUAAAAAGAAUAAACACAAAGCUUACUCUUUUUAUUCA
rnacentral:lncRNA from 1 species